rnacentral:tRNA from 2 species
GGAGAGAUGCCAGAGUGGUUGAUUGGGCCUGUCUCGAAAACAGGUGUGUCCGCAAGGGCACCGUGGGUUCGAAUCCCACUCUCUCCG